AACGAACGCUGGCGGCAUGCCUAACACAUGCAAGUCGAACGAGACCUUCGGGUCUAGUGGCGCACGGGUGCGUAACGCGUGGGAACCUGCCCUUAGGUUCGGAAUAACUCCCCGAAAGGGGUGCUAAUACCGGAUAAUGUCUUCGGACCAAAGAUUUAUCGCCUUUGGAUGGGCCCGCGUUGGAUUAGCUAGUUGGUAGGGUAAAAGCCUACCAAGGCGACGAUCCAUAGCUGGUCUGAGAGGAUGAUCAGCCACACUGGGACUGAGACACGGCCCAGACCCCUACGGGAGGCAGCAGUGGGGAAUAUUGGACAAUGGGCGAAAGCCUGAUCCAGCAAUGCCGGGUGAGUUAUGAAGGCCUUAGGGUUGUAAAGCUCUUUUACCCGGGAUGAUAAUGACAGUACCGGGAGAAUAAGCUCCGGCUAACCCCGU
rnacentral:rRNA from 1 species